CCUACGGUGUGCAGCAGUGGUGAAUAUUGGGCAAUGGGCGCAAGCCUGACCCAGCAACGCCGCGUGAAGGAAGAAGGCUUUCGGGUUGUAAACUUCUUUUAUCAGGGACGAAGCAAGUGACGGUACUUGAAGAAAAAGCAUCGGCUAACUCCGUGCCAGCAGCCGCGGUAAUACGGAGGAUGCGAGCGUUAUCCGGAUUUAUUGGGUUUAAAGGGUGCGUAGGCGGACUGUUAAGUCAGCGGUAAAAGCCCGGGGCUCAACCCCGGCGAGCCGUUGAAACUGGCUGUCUUGAGAUGUCGAGAGGUAUGCGGAAUGCGCAGUGUAGCGGUGAAAUGCUUAGAUAUUGCGCAGAACUCCGAUUGCGAAGGCAGCAUACCGGCGGCGAUCUGACGCUGAGGCACGAAAGCGUGGGUAUCGAACAGGAUUAGAUACCCGAGUAGUC
rnacentral:rRNA from 1 species